GUGCUCGCUUCGGCAGCACAUAUACUAAAAUUGGAACGAUACAGAGACGAUUAGCUUGGCCCCUGCACGAGGAUGACGUGCAGAUUUGUAAAAUGUAAAAAUAAUUC
rnacentral:snRNA from 1 species